CGUCGGAGUCCAAAACCCUAAAAAAGACUGGUGCGAACCAGCUGCAACUUAUUAGUGUUCCUGCCUGCUGCACAAACAGCAGAACAAAUCCAACUCCAGGCUCCCUACUUGACGCAACUCAGAUACCUAAUCCUCUCUUUCUUUCUGAUAAAAAAAAAUAUAAAUCACAGGUCUCCGCAUUUGUUGGCAAGGAUGGCUGGACAAAGGAACAGCUACGGGAAGCGUUCUCAUGACUAUUCUGAUAAUGGAGGAAAUAAAAGGAGGAAUUCUGGUACUGAUAAGGACACGUUCUCUGUUGGGUCUGAUGAUACCGUGUACCGCUACUUGUGCCCUGCCAAAAAAAUUGGGAGUAUUAUUGGGAGGGGUGGGGAGAUUGUUAAGCAACUAAGGGCAGACACUAGAUCAAAGAUAAGAAUUGGUGAAACAGUUCCAGGAUGCGAAGAACGAGUUGUCACUAUAUACAGUUCCAGCGAGGAAACUAAUGAUUUUGAUGGUUCUGAGGAGCGUGUUUGUCCAGCACAGGAUGCUCUCUUUAAGGUUCAUGAAAAAAUUGUCACUGACGAAACAGCCAGUGAUGAUGACAGGGAAGAAACUGCACAAGUAGUUGUCAAGCUUCUAGUUCCAUCUGACCAAAUUGGAUGCAUAAUUGGGAAGGGGGGACAAAUUGUACAAAGCAUCCGCAGUGAUACCGGGGCACAGAUUCGCAUAUUAAAGGAUGAUCAUUUGCCUGCCUGUGCGUUGAGCUCUGAUGAACUUGUGCAGAUAACUGGCGAAGCCCCUGUGGUAAGGAAGGCUCUUUAUCAGAUUGCAUCUCGCCUUCAUGAUAAUCCAUCCCGAUCUCAGCAUUUGCUUGCAUCAGCUGUUCCAAAUGCAUACCCAUCUGGUGGGUCACUUAUGGGUGCUACUGCUGCUGCUCCAGUAAUGGGAUUAACCCCAUUGGUGGGACCCUAUGGGGGAUACAAGACGGAGAGUGGGGACUGGUCUCGGUCAUUUUACUCGGCUCCAAGAGACGACUCAUCUUCGAAGGAAUUUUCUCUUAGAUUGGUAUGCCCAACUGCAAAUAUUGGUGGUGUGAUUGGCAAGGGUGGUACCAUUAUCAAUCAAAUCAGACAAGAAUCUGGGGCAGGCAUAAAAGUUGACAGUUCAGCUGCUGAGGGAGAUGAUUGUGUAAUAUCAAUUUCAGCCAAAGAGUUCUUCGAGGAUACAUUCUCUCCAACAAUUGAUGCAGCAUUACGUUUGCAACCUAGGUGCAGUGAGAAAGUUGAAAGAGAUUCUGGUCUUAUUUCAUACACUACGCGGUUACUUGUGCCAACCUCUCGAAUUGGCUGCCUUAUUGGAAAAGGAGGUUCAAUAAUUACUGACAUGAGGAAAAUCACAAAAGCUAAUAUUCGUGUACUGACCAAGGAUAACCUUCCCAAAGUUGCAGCGGAGGAUGAUGAGAUGGUGCAGAUAUCGGGAGAUCUUGAUACUGCAAAGGAUGCACUUAUACAAGUUACUUCUCGGUUGAGGGCAAAUCUCUUUGAAAGAGAGGGUGCUGUAUCUGCAUUUGUACCUGUUCUACCUUAUGUUCCCAUGUCAACUGAUGGUUCAGAUAGUGUUAGAUAUGAAAACAGAGAUGCGAAAAGGCAUGGCCGUGGACAUUCUUAUUCAGCAGGUUAUGGUAGUUCUAGUGAUAUGCAACCUCUUGAUGGAUAUGGAAAUUAUGCUAGUCUCCAAGGCGGUGCGAGUGGAACAGGUUAUGGAGCCUAUGGUGGAUAUUCUUCGGGACGGUCUGCUGGUUCUGGGUUAUCUGGGCAGAACCCUGUUUCCAGGAGGAAAAGUUUUUACUAAAGUUUCAUAGACCAUGCAGGUGCUCACAUCUCUAGCUAUCAGAAUGCACAUCCUGACCUGUUUGCAAGUUGAAUGCACGGCUUUGAAGGCUUUUUUUGAUAACUGAUUGAAAAGUGGAUUUUCAUGAAGCUGGUGGUCAGAUGAAAUAUUUCCUUGUGAAAAUGACAGGUAACUCUUAUACCUCCUUGUAUAUCUUGCUUUCUUUAAUUGUUUUCAUUGAGUCUUAAAUCUGUAGUUGUGGGAGAAUGAGGUAUUAUUAAAUGUUGAAAGCGAUAAGGUAAUUAGAUAUUCCUAUGGUUUCAUUGGUCGAAGCUCAAAGAAGAUAUGUAAUAUUAAUAAACUCAAUCAGUGUAUAUUUAAGUGAACUGAGAUUAGGAAAGUGUGAAAGUUUACCUGUUAGAACAUUUUUUGAUAAUCACUGCACCUAAAUUUUUAAUGUUUGAAGGUAAAGAUGCCCCAUAAAUUCUUGGCAUUUUGCUUUUAGUUUAGUUUUAUUUGUUUUGUAACUGUGUCCCAUUUUCUUUCCUCACAAUUGGCACCCCUUAAAACUUCCCUUGGAUUGUAUGCAUGAGCAUAGCUUCUCCACUAUACCAGCAACCUCUCAAAGUCUUGUUCUGUAUCACUUAAUCCACAAAGCUGCUUAGAGAAGUGGUAAAAAGGAAAAUAUUGAAGUAAAAAGGAAAGCCAAAUACAAAUGUUUGCAUUUUAAGGGGCUUAAAAAACUCUGGUCAUGUUUUUCACUAUAAUUUUUUUUUGUGGUGUUGUUGGGAGGGGG